rnacentral:rRNA from 1 species
UACAGAGGUCUCAAGCGUUGUUCGGAUUCAUUGGGCGUAAAGGGUGCGUAGGUGGUUAGGUAAGUCGGAUGUGAAAUCCCGGGGCUCAACCUCGGAACUGCAUUCGAUACUGCUUGACUAGAGUACUGGAGAGGAGAUUGGAAUUUACGGUGUAGCAGUGAAAUGCGUAGAUAUCGUAAGGAAGACCAGCGGCGAAGGCGGAUCUCUGGACAGUUACUGACACUGAGGCACGAAGGCCAGGGGAGACAAAAGC